UGUAAUACAUAAUUUUCAUUCAUUUGUUGAAAAAUAUAAAAACGUUUACUUUUAAAUUGGAAUUAAAGGGAAGAUCUUAAUUUUCAAAUAUUAAAAAUGAGUCCCCAACUGCUAAAAUACCAACUAUUUUUUAAGCAAACAUAUUUUUAAAGUCCCUACAUUACCCAACAAACAACAACAAUGGCUAGAUAUAUGUAAAAUUUCCGAAGAAGAUUUGCCAAAAGAGCCAAUGGUAUGCUCCGACCAUUGCCUUAAAAGUAAUAUUUCAGUUAAUGCAAAACGUGUAAGAUUGCAUAAAAAUACUGUGUCAAUGACCACAAGGUAACUUUAAAAUACUAAUUGAUCUGCAAACACUGAGUUUUAAGAUUCGAUUUGUUGUUUUAAAUUUCGUAAUCAUAAAGAAAUAAAAUAUGAUGACUCUAUGUUAUCACUGAUGGAAUUUCAAGAAUUUAAGGAAUGUGGAGAGUUGCAUCUUCCAAAUCAGGAAAGGUGUGCUACACAUAUAUUGCAUUUAAUAGCCUCCAAGGAUAUAGAUCAAGCCAGAUUUCAAAACAAUUCAUACAAAAAACUUUACGAUGCAGCCAUGGGGAAAUGUCAAGCUGUGUGGAAUCUUUGUUCAACAGGAAAUUCCCCCACCUCUCCAUGUCCAACAAGAUGGAAUUCAUUUUAUAAUUCCAUACAAGACUUACUUGCUGUGAAGGAUAACAUAAAUGAAACUUUAAGGAAGCUUGGAUUGGUGACUUUAAAAAAAUUUAAGUCCAAUUUCUUGUAGAAUUUAUUGAUUGUUCGAAGCCAAUUGCUGAUGCAAUACGAAGCUUAAAAGGAGAUUUAUUGAGGAUGCAACGAAUGCUGACAAAUUUGCAAACAAGCAAUCCUAAUUAUUGUGGUAUUUUAAUUAAUGUCAUCAAAGAAAGUUUAUACAAACGAUUCGAAAGAUCUUAUAAAUUAGAAUCAAAUGCAAAAGACGCCAUAAUAGCCUCUGUAUCUCAUCCCACUUCAAAAUGAAAUGGGUCCCUAAAGAUAAACGAGGCUUCAUAAAAGGACUUUUCAUAAGGUAAGGAAGAUAAAGCCAGAUCAAGAAAAUGGAAAGUAUCUCCAAAAUUCUAUUUCAGCUAAAGAAACAAAUGAAUCUUAUUAUUUGUUUGUAGAAGCGCGGAUUCUUAUGUGACCAGUGAUGAUAACACUACAACAGACCUAGAAACUCUACAAUAUCUGAAUGAUAAUGAUACUAAUUUAGAAUCUUUAAACAAAUAUCCUAAUGUUAAAAACUAUUUUAUUUUAAAAAACUAUUUUGAAUAUAAUUAUUUUGUACUUUUUAUUUAAAAUUACUUUACCUAAAAAACAAAAAUAAAAAAAUAUUUGUA